GUCAUUAGCAGUCACUUGACUUUCCUUGGAUUUCUCAACUGCAGUAGUCACACGGUCUGCUGAAAAUGAAUUCUCUUUAUUUUCAUCUGAUUUCAAGGAAUUAUGGUUUUCAGUGAUUUCUUCAUUUGGAUCUAUUUUGAGACAGAGUAAUAGCAUUAAAACCCCCUUCUGAAUUAAUAAGUAUUUUAUGGGUGCAAAGGAAAUUAUAUGUCAAAAGCAAUGGAGAGAAAACAUUUGAGAAAAUGGAAGAAAUGCUGAGACACUGGAGUCUACCCUGAAAGAUAAAGUUUCACCUGAGGAGAUCUGCAAAUUAGUAGCUUUUUGCCAGAAGGCAUUCUCCAAUCUAUGCAGCUCAAGUAAUAGAAGGCUACAGCCUUGGUGGAAUGACUUGAGGGGACAGAGGACAGAGUCUAGGACCAUCAGAUCAGCCAAUAAAGAAAGAAGAGACACAGACAUGCAGAGAAAACACAGGGAAGAAGGCCACAUGGGAUGAAGGCAGAGAUGGGAAUGAUGCAGCUACAAGCCAAGGAAUGCCAUGGACUGCCAGCAACCACUAGAAAGAAGCUGGAAGAGGCAAGGAAGGAUUCUUCUGUGAUGCCUUCAGAGGAAAAUGGCCCUGCAAACACCCUGAUCUCGGACUUCUGACCUCCAGAAAACAAAUUAAGAAACAGCAUGGUGGUGUCAGGCGUAUAUCAAAUUGUCAGCUUUACUGGUAAAGUUCAACUGCAGAACAAGAUUUGAAUUGGUAGCCUAUUGUACUUCCUAAUACUUCCAGUCUGAAUUAGGGGGAUUCCCCCAUUUAGUCAUAGCACAAAAGAGCUCCUCUCAGCACCUUCUGCCUCACCUCCCAGAGAGCGGAUCCUUGAGCACCAACACUGCAGACAAGCGAUGAGAAAAAGAAAGAAGCUUGGCCAGGUGGCAUGCAGUUCCCUAAUCUGCCCAAGCAGAUUAUGGGGAAGAAAUGUUCUUCCUGUACUUUUCCCUUCUGAAAUGUUCAGAAGGGACAGUUUGCUUCUCAUAGUGAAAUACAAAGAGAAAAACGAAGUGUUCUCCCUUAAUAACAAUGCAUAGUAAACUCCCUGAUGGAAACCUGAAAGGCCACAUUUAAUGCUAUUGGAACAUAACCCAAAGAACACAGAAGAGUGCCAUGAACAUCCAACACACAUUUGUUGAGUGAAUAAAAUCAAAUAAAUAAAAUGACACUGACUAUAUUGUUCUUAGCCAUAAAUUACAUAAUUCAAAGAUACAUAAAUUUAAAAAAUUAUUAAAGAUAAACACUAUUAUAUAGAUUCAGAAAAGCAACACUUUUUGACAUUUUACUUUCUCUAAAACUGGAUAAAUUCUACAAUCACUGGUGUGUUAUAGUUUAAUUGGAUGCAUUUCCUUCUUCCUUAGUGGUACGUAAAAUAAUGCUACAUCUUACAAUUGAUGCAGUUUUAGACUCGGUGGAAUACAGUAUAUUUUUAAAAAUUAUUUCCCUAUCAGUUGCAGAAGAAAAUAUGUAAAACACACACAGAUGCACACAAAUUCAUUCUCUCCUUCUCUUUUUCAUAAUCAGAUAAAAAAGCAUAAAUUCAAGAACACAAUUCAACAGGCUAGUGGUAGUGCUAACCUCAGG